AUUGAACGCUUGCGGCAGGCCUAACACAUGCAAGUCGAGCGAGCGGCGGACGGGUGAGUAAUGUAUGGGGAACUGCCCGAUGGAGGGGGAUAACUACUGGAAACGGUGGCUAAUACCGCAUACCAUCGGAUGUACCCAUAUGGGAUUAGCUAGUAGGUGGGGUAAAGGCGCACCUAGGCGACGAUCACUAGCUGGUCUGAGAGGACGACCAGCCACACUGGGACGGAGACACGGCCCAGCUUCCUACGGGAGGCAGCAGUGGUGAAUAUUGCACAAUGGGCGCAAGCCUGAUGCAGCCAUGCCGCGUGUGUGAAGAAGGCCUUCGGGUUGUAAAGCACUUUCAGCGGUGAGGCGUUACUCGCAGAAGAAGCACCGGCUAACUCCGUGCCAGCCGCCGCGGUAAUUC
rnacentral:rRNA from 1 species